rnacentral:rRNA from 1 species
AUUGAACGCUGGCGGCAGGCCUAACACAUGCAAGUCGAGCGAGCGGCGGACGGGUGAGUAAUGUCUGGGAAACUGCCUGCUGGAGGGGGGUAACUACUGGAAACGGUAGCUAAUACCGCAUACCAUCUGAUGUGCCCAGAUGGGUUUGGCUAGUGGGUGGGGUAACGGUUCACCUGGGCGCCGAUCCCUAGCUGGUCUGAGAGGAUGACCCGCCAAACGGGAACUGAGACACGUUCCAGACUCCUACGGGAGGCAGCAGUGGGGAAUAUUGCACAAUGGGCGCAAGCCUGAUGCAGCCAGGCCGCGUGUAUGAAGAAGGCCUUCGGGUUGUAAAGUACGUUCAGCGGGGAGGCGUUACCCGCAGAAGAAGCACCGGCUAACUCCGUGCCAGCAGCCGCGGUAAUAC